AUCACACAUAGGCAAACCUUCUGAAAAGAUGGGACGCAAAGCUUCCGGUCUGUCGGUAUUUUUAUCAUACCCAAGAUAGCGGGGCCGCCGCU
rfam:Vibrio vulnificus YJ016 DNA, chromosome II, complete sequence.